rnacentral:rRNA from 1 species
UACGUAGGGUGCGAGCGUUGUCCGGAAUUAUUGGGCGUAAAGAGCUUGUAGGCGGAUGUCUAAGUACCUUGUGAAAUCCCACGGCUCAACCGUGGAACUGCUUGGUAUACUGGAUGUCUUGAGCCAUCUAGGGGCUACCGGAACAAAUGGUGGAGCGGUGAAAUGCGUAGAUAUCAUUUGGAACGCCAAUGGUGAAAACAGGUAGCUGGGGAUGUGCUGACGCUGGGGCGCGACAGCGUGGGGAGCAAACAGG